rnacentral:rRNA from 1 species
UGACCGCUGGCGGUAGGCCUAACACAUGCAAGUCGAACGGCAGCACAGUAAGAGCUUGCUCUUACGGGUGGCGAGUGGCGGACGGGUGAGGAAUACAUCGGAAUCUACUUUUUCGUGGGGAUAACGUAGGGAAACUUACGCUAAUACCGCAUACGACCUACGGGUGAAAGCAGGGGAUCUUCGGACCUUGCGCGAUUGAAUGAGCCGAUGUCGGAUUAGCUAGUUGGCGGGGUAAAGGCCCACCAAGGCGACGAUCCGUAGCUGGUCUGAGAGGAUGAUCAGCCACACUGGAACUGAGACACGGUCCAGACUCCUACGGGAGGCAGCAGUGGGGAAUAUUGGACAAUGGGCGCAAGCCUGAUCCAGCCAUACCGCGUGGGUGAAGAAGGCCUUCGGGUUGUAAAGCCCUUUUGUUGGGAAAGAAAAGCAGCAGGUUAAUACCCCGCUGUUCUGACGGUACCCAAAGAAUAAGCACCGGCUAACUUCGUG